AUAGGCUGCAGUAAACAUAUCACGAAGUGAUCAAACUAUUGGUCUGUGUGCGUUAAACUAUUUUCCAUGGCAUAUGAAAAAGUGUUCUGAUAGAAUAUUAAAAGUUUACAAAAUGUGAAUUAUGGAUUAUUAUAAGGCAUAUAUUGUCAUUAAAAGGGAUCAUACUGCCAUCAAAAAAAAAAAAUACGAAUCAAUAAAAAAAGGUUAAUGUAUUAUUAUGACAGUGGGCCUAAUGCAUAAAUUAGCUGCAUUUAUAUAUGCAUAUUUUGGUGGGAUAUAACCAAGAAAAAAUCACCACCCUCUUGUGUUUGCAUUCGUCACAAAAAUAAUAUAAGCUGAAUGAAUACUUGUAAGGCGUCAUGGAUGUUCUUUUUCUUUCUCCUUUUUUAAUGUGCUGACGUUUUACGAAAAAUUAAAAUUUUGUGACAAUUUAUGAAGGAGUGAAAUAAAUGGAAACAAAGACAACCCGCUAACCGGUCGUCGCACAAUCACACAAUUAUGGAUAUCAAUUUUUACUGGAUUGAAGGCAUGUGGUCAAUAUAUCCCCACACUUUCUACCUGGCAUGUAGUGAACUGGAUUUAUGUACGCAGAAAAGUUACGAGGCAUCAUAAAAACAAGGACAACAGUGCUGGGGU
rnacentral:sRNA from 1 species